AGUGAACGCUGGCGGUAGGCCUAACACAUGCAAGUCGAACGGCAGCACAGUAAGAGCUUGCUCUUACGGGUGGCGAGUGGCGGACGGGUGAGGAAUACAUCGGAAUCUACUUUUUCGUGGGGGAUAACGUAGGGAAACUUACGCUAAUACCGCAUACGACCUACGGGUGAAAGCAGGGGAUCUUCGGACCUUGCGCGAUUGAAUGAGCCGAUGUCGGAUUAGCUAGUUGGCGGGGUAAAGGCCCACCAAGGCGACGAUCCGUAGCUGGUCUGAGAGGAUGAUCAGCCACACUGGAACUGAGACACGGUCCAGACUCCUACGGGGGGCAGCAGUGGGGAAUAUUGGACAAUGGGCGCAAGCCUGAUCCAGCCAUACCGCGUGGGUGAAGAAGGCCUUCGGGUUGUAAAGCCCUUUUGUUGGGAAAGAAAAGCAGCAGGUUAAUACCCCGCUGUUCUGACGGUACCCAAAGAAUAAGCACCGGCUAACUUCGU
rnacentral:rRNA from 1 species